rnacentral:rRNA from 1 species
UACGGGGGGGGCAAGCGUUGUUCGGAAUUACUGGGCGUAAAGCGCACGUAGGCGGAUCGAUCAGUCAGGGGUGAAUCCCAGGGCUCAACCCUGGAACUGCCUUUGAUACUGUCGAUCUGGAGUAUGGAAGAGGUGAGUGGAAUUCCGAGUGUAGAGGUGAAAUUCGUAGAUAUUCGGAGGAACACCAGUGGCGAAGGCGGCUCACUGGUCCAUUACUGACGCUGAGGUGCGAAAGCGUGGGGAGCAAACAGG